AGAAGCUUGCUUCUCUGAUGUUAGCGGCGGACGGGUGAGUAACACGUGGAUAACCUACCUAUAAGACUGGGAUAACUUCGGGAAACCGGAGCUAAUACCGGAUAAUAUUUUGAACCGCAUGGUUCAAAAGUGAAAGACGGUCUUGCUGUCACUUAUAGAUGGAUCCGCGCUGCAUUAGCUGGUUGGUAAGGUAACGGCUUACCAAGGCAACGAUGCAUAGCCGACCUGAGAGGGUGAUCGGCCACACUGGAACUGAGACACGGUCCAGACUCCUACGGGAGGCAGCAGUAGGGAAUCUUCCGCAAUGGGCGAAAGCCUGACGGAGCAACGCCGCGUGAGUGAUGAAGGUCUUCGGAUCGUAAAACUCUGUUAUUAGGGAAGAACAUAUGUGUAAGUAACUGUGCACAUCUUGACGGUACCUAAUCAGAAAGCCACGGCUAACUACGUGCCAGCAGCCGCGGUAAUACGUAGGUGGCAAGCGUUAUCCGGAAUUAUUGGGCGUAAAGCGCGCGUAGGCGGUUUUUUAAGUCUGAUGUGAAAGCCCACGGCUCAACCGUGGAGGGUCAUUGGAAACUGGAAAACUUGAGUGCAGAAGAGGAAAGUGGAAUUCCAUGUGUAGCGGUGAAAUGCGCAGAGAUAUGGAGGAACACCAGUGGCGAAGGCGACUUUCUGGUCUGUAACUGACGCUGAUGUGCGAAAGCGUGGGGAUCAAACAGGAUUAGAUACCCUGGUAGUCCACGCCGUAAACGAUGAGUGCUAAGUGUUAGGGGGUUUCC
rnacentral:rRNA from 1 species